CAGACAGGUCGCCCACUGAAACUAAGCAGGGCUGCGCCUGGUCAGUACCUGGAUGGGAGACCACAUGGGAAAGCUAGGUUGCUUGUUAGU
rnacentral:rRNA from 1 species